UACGGAGGGAGCUAGCGUUGUUCGGAUAUACUGGGCGUAAAGGGCGCGUAGGCGGUUUGUACAGUCAGGUGUGAAAUUCCCGGGCUCAACCUGGGGGCUGCACUUGAUACGUAUGGACUGGAGUGGGGAAGAGGGUCGUGGAAUUCCCAGUGUAGAGGUGAAAUUCGUAGAUAUUGGGAAGAACACCCGUGGCGAAGGCGGCUCUCUGGGACGGUACUGACGCUGAGACGCGAAAGCCAGGGGAGCAAACGGG
rnacentral:rRNA from 1 species